AUGAACGCAUCGAAAUCAGUAUCAGUGCGACAGCGACUUUGAAUGCCAGCAAGUUAAGUAAUAGCCGCUCAGUCAAAUCUAUAAUAUCUGGUUUUCGCAACUCGUAUUGAAUUGAAUCGAAUUGAACGAGUGUGUUGCCUUUCCACACAGUGUGGCAGUGACAACGGAGAUAUCAACAAAAUGCUUCACGUGUAUACUUGUAGUGUAUUUGUAUAAGCCACGCACUGCGUGUCAAAUGCCAAUUGCAUUGCGGAAACAGAACGACCGACGCGGCAUAGUGAUAGUGGCAGUGACAGUGACUGUGAAUGUGACAGUGUGACUGACAGCACAGGUGAAUAACGCACCGUGUCUGUCUGAGUGGUGGAAAAUAGUGUGAGUACUAAGGAAGCGCUCGUUUUUGAAUCUUUGUAUUUGCCGCAAAUUCUGCUUGUGCCAUUUGCUUGCAACCGCCAAUUUGCAUUUGUUGUUAACCAAGGCACGUACAAGCCAAACGAUAAAAUCUCUAGAAAGUAAAUAACUAGACGAAAGAAAAGUGUAAAGGAAGCAAAAAAUCUAUACGUAUGUAUGUACGGAGUGAAUCAGAGUGUGUUAGUGAUGGCUGAAAGCUUAUGAAGAUAAUAAGAAAACAACUAAAAAAAAACGGAAAAUUUAAAAGAAAAUUUCAAAAAAUAGGCUCACGCUCCAAAAGUGAAAAGUGCCAUUAAAUACGCAAAUACGUGAAAUUUCAAUGAACGCGUGCAUAUAUUUUUGUUAUGCGCUAGCUGUCAAUAUCAUUGACACCUUUAUCACCCACAACAAAAGUGCACCGUUAUUUUAGCUUGAGCUGGUGGUUUGGCAGCUCUCAGCCAACGCCAGACCGCAAUUUCAUGGAUAGCAGAAUGUAAAGUUAAUCGAAGAUGCCAUAAAAAGUGAAGCGUGAUGACCAGCUAUCAGCGAUACUCAUUUUAGCUAUUACUUUAAUUGAAUUUUUCCAUAAACGAAUAAUGGAAGGCAAUAGUUAUAUCAGUUGCUCACCUCAUCAUCGAUGUAGUCAUGUCGAUCCAAAAGGCAAUUGAUGCAGGCAAACUACAACAAAUCUAUAUAAAAUACAUAGAAAUAUAAAAUCAAUCGUGGAGGUGUAGAGAAUUAACAACCAGAAAAAUUAGAAAAUAAUAUUAUUGUAGAAAAGGAGAAGAAGGAGUGAGCGGAUAAAACUGAACUGCGCAAAUGACCGUAGAUUUAUAAAUGACUAGUAAUUUUUCAGUUUAUUGUGUUGUGACAGCUCUGCUGGCAGCUGGGGUUGGUCAAAGUCAACGGCAAAUUUACUAUACGCAGAAGGUAUUGUAAAAGAAAUUGAAUGGUAAUCGAAUAAAAAUGAAAGUGAAACCAUAAAAAUAACAGUUUAAUCGAAAACUGAUAUUUUUAGUGCGGUCUGAGUGGAAAAGUUUCUUUGUCAAUUUGUGUGAGUAGGGUUUCGCGUUGGAAUGUUUCAAUGCAAAAGGCGUACAUGGCGUAUGAGUAACUAUGCGAUUUGAGUAUUACUAACACACUGGUCAGCACUUAGAUUUAGAAGGCGAAAAAAGAACAAAAACUAAAAAACUUGCAAUUCAGUGAAAUCAUCAAAGCGGAAAUAGCAUCAGUUUUAAGCAAAUAGAAGCAGCAACAAUCUGCAAUUCACUUAGCUCACUGCCCGCUUAAGUGGCUACCAAAGGCACAAAUAAAGCUCGAAUAUUUUCUGCUUCACUCAAGAGUUGGCCAUUUUUUUGAAGCCACAGCCAACAGAAUGCGGUCACACAAAUACGCCCCAACCCCAUCCUAUAAAUAACCAAGAACAGUAAACCUUACCUUACCUUAGGUGCGUCGGCAAGCUGUACCAGCGGCUGUUUUGCAGUCAACGCCAUCGCUAUCGGCUGUGGUCAAACAAGCAAUCAGGCUAACUGACGACAAAAUAAAGGCUUCAAAUUGAACAGAAGUGAAUAUGUGAGUGUGUAAAUAUGCAUAUGUAUGAGUGUAUGUAAUACAUGUAUACAUUUGCCGCCGUAUACAAAGCUCGAACAGGAAGCUGUAUGGUGAUAACUAAAUAAACGCAUCAGAAAAAAUGAAAUAUUACUACAAAAUAAUGCAAAUAAAAAUGAAUGCCAGCCACCAUUACUUAUAGCUCACAACGAUGAAAAAACGGUUAUUUCGCUGAGCGGAAAUUGUGAAUUUUUCGUAACCGCUAACAGAAAAACUAUUGGACCGCCUCAACGACUAACAGAAAAAACGCAAAUUUUUCCUGUUGUGUUUGUAUAUGCAAAUCUAGGCAAAAAAAAAAAAACGGAAAACCAAAAACCACACAAAAAACGUUUUUACAUUUACAUGCCAUUGCAUGCACAGUUGUGUGUGCAUGUGCGCGAAUAUAUGCGCAUACUAUGCGGCCGUAUUUUCUAUUUUCAUGCGACUACCUACCCACAUAUGUACAUUAACAUUCCACUUGUCGCACUCAAAUUUGUCCGCGUGAAUUAGAUUUGUAUGCUUCGUCGGUUAUGAACAGUGAAUUGUGCGCAUAAUUGUGAAAGUGUGUGUGCGCGAAAAAAAAAACAAUAAAAAGAGGAUAACAUCGGUUUUUGUUGUGCUGCACUCUGAUGUGCUGUACUGUGUGGUGCUCUACCGUUAUCAUGCACUAUAUCACCGUCAGCUAGAAUAUUGCAUAUCAGCGAAAAGCAUAUCGCCUGCAACUACAAAUUGUUGGAGGCAAUUUAGUCGUUACCGCUGUUAUUUAAACGUCGUGAAUGUGCGGUUAGUUUCGAGUUUUAGCCUGAGUAGCUGCACAAACCAGCUUGUAAUUGUGUUGCGGUUAUAGCUGUAGUGAGCAAUUCAACUCACAGACUGCCCAUCAAGAUGAUUGCCUUCCUGGCGCUGUUCUUCUA